AUUGAACGCUGGCGGCAUGCUUUACACAUGCAAGUCGAACGGGGUGAAGGGGCAACUCUUCAUUCAGUGGCGAACGGGUGAGUAAUGCAUCGGAACGUACCUCGUAGUGGGGGAUAACUCGGCGAAAGCCGUGCUAAUACCGCAUAUGCUCUACGGAGGAAAGCAGGGGACCUGAAAGGGCCUUGUGCUAUGGGAGCGGCCGAUGUCCGAUUAGCUAGUUGGGGGGUAAUGGCCUACCAAGGCGACGAUCGGUAGCUGGUCUGAGAGGAUGAUCAGCCACACUGGGACUGAGACACGGCCCAGACUCCUACGGGAGGCAGCAGUGGGGAAUUUUGGACAAUGGGCGCAAGCCUGAUCCAGCAAUGCCGCGUGUGUGAAGAAGGCC
rnacentral:rRNA from 1 species